rnacentral:rRNA from 1 species
CCCUUAGAUGUUCUGGGCCGCACGCGUGCUACACUGAGUAAAUCAAUGGGUAAGGGAACACGAAAGUGCAACCUAAUCUUGAAAUUUGCUCGUGAUGGGGAUUGACGGUUGCAAUUUUCCGUCAUGAACGAGGAAUACCUUGUAGGCGCAUGUCAUCAUCAUGCGCCGAAUACGUCCCUGCCCUUUGUACACACCGCCCGUCGCUCCUACCGAUUGAGUGAUCCGGUGAGGCUCUGGGACCUGAGCGGAAAGAGCGUUUCGCUUGUUCUGCUUGGGAAACUUGGUCGAACCUUAUCAUUUAGAGGAAGGAGAAGUCGUAACA